rnacentral:sRNA from 1 species
GAGGAGUGUGACCCAGGUGCCGCUUCCUCUCGCCGCCGAGGGUCAGGAGCCCGUGAGCGCGACCCUCCCCUGGCCCGGCCUGGCCCGGCCUGGCCAGUCCCCGCGGUCUCUGCCCGGGCUGACGCCCAGGACUGUGGUCGACGAGAAGCCCCAACAGCAUGUCGUGGCCCCUCGGCCUCGGUCCUGGGUUAAAGGGACAGGAGCCACUGUCAUUAUUCCAAUUCAGUCACUGAGGAGGUGAGGCUGAGAGGCAUUCUCAUGUCUGAAGAGGAUGGGCUUGCCUGACCCCCGCCCCCGUGCCCAGCCCAGCCCAGCAGCCCAAGCAGUUCUCCAGGACUCAGGUUUCAGACCUUCAACACUUGCCUUGGGAGACAAACAGCGGUGCAGCCCUUGCUUGCAAGCCAUUCCACAUUAGACUUCGGAUUGAUUUAUGGCAGGAUCCCUGCUGUGCGAGAACUGCAGGGGGUGGGGGGCGGCUAUUUCUUGCUGCUAACUCAGGCAGGAUGUGUCUAUAUCCUGUCUCAGUUUAUGUAGCUGCUCAUCAGAGCCAGAGGUUAGAGCGGAGAGGACCCACUUCCGCCAGGCCGGCCUGCUCUGCUCAGCUCAGCUGGGCUAGGCCCCAAUGCCACAGUUACUGCGCGUGAGUCAUGCACAGCAAUCCGUUGCCUUGCCCUUGGAUGGAAGGGGUCACGGCUCAGUGAGAAGACGGCCAGGUUUGGCAGCUUUAUAUAGAAUUCACCGCCUCUGGCAGAAGCAGAGGACUG